UACGGGGGGGGGCAAGCGUUGUUCGGAAUUACUGGGCGUAAAGGGUUCGUAGGUGGCUGGCUAAGUCAGACGUGAAAUCCCCUCAGCUUAACUGGGGAACUGCGUCUGAGACUGGUCGGCUCGAGUGCAGGAGAGGAACGCGGAAUUCCAGGUGUAGCGGUGAAAUGCGUAGAUAUCUGGAGGAACACCGGUGGCGAAGGCGGCGUUCUGGACUGCAACUGACACUGAGGAACGAAAGCCAGGGGAGCAAACGGG
rnacentral:rRNA from 1 species